UCAAACUUGGUCAUUUAGAGGAAGUAAAAGUCGUAACAAGGUCUCCGUUGGUGAACCAGCGGAGGGAUCAUUACAGGGUCUAACGACUGCCCAAACCACACCGUGAACCUUUUUUACAAGUUAAAUGCUUUGGCAGGUCGCCCGCUGGGGGGGCCCAGGCCGCGGUUUUACUCGCGGUGGCCUGCCGAAGGCAUGCAAAUCAAAAAUUCAUAGAACACAUCUCUGAGAAACAUCAUUUCCCUCGGGAAAAAAAAUUAUCACAACUCAUAACAAUGGAUCUCUUGGCUCUGGCAUCGAUGAAGAACGCAGC
rnacentral:misc_RNA from 1 species